AGCGAACGCUGGCGGCAGGCCUAACACAUGCAAGUCGAACGAACCCUUCGGGGUUAGUGGCGGACGGGUGAGUAACACGUGGGAACGUGCCUUUAGGUUCGGAAUAACUCAGGGAAACUUGUGCUAAUACCGAAUGUGCCCUUCGGGGGAAAGAUUUAUCGCCUUUAGAGCGGCCCGCGUCUGAUUAGCUAGUUGGUGAGGUAAUGGCUCACCAAGGCUACGAUCAGUAGCUGGUCUGAGAGGAUGACCAGCCACAUUGGGACUGAGACACGGCACAAACUCCGACGGGAGGCAGCAGUGGGGAAUCUUGCGCAAUGGGCGAAAGCCUGACGCAGCCAUGCCGCGUGGAUGAUGAAGGUCUUAGGAUUGUAAAAUCCUUUCACCGGUGAAGAUAAUGACUGUAGCCGGAGAAGAAGCCCCGGCUAACUUCGUGCCAGCCGCCGCUGUAAAAC
rnacentral:rRNA from 1 species